AUAAUUUCCGAGUCCACACUUAGACUUCCCAGGAAUGUUUUUAGUAAGAAAAUCAAUCAAACGAGCCUUUAAAACUAAAUAGGUGGUGAGUUGCCUCUCCAGACAAAGUCACAGGAAGCGCUUCCCUCUCUUACAUUGUCUCUUCUGUUCCUUCUCUCUCUCCAGGUCAUGAUAAUGGUACCCUGUGGGCCUUUGUUGCCUCACUACGGAUGCAUUUUACUCUUAUUUCACAGUACCUACAAGGAGCAAGCAACUCUGCUGGAUAAACACACAUGGUUUCCUGUUCAAGUAACAAAUUUUGUCCUUAGUUUAAUAUUUUCUGGUGUUCCCUGAUACAGAAAUUAGAGCUGCUUAUAUUUGCUGUCUGCUUCCAGAAGAUCCAGUUGCUACCUAAAAAACUCGUGGACACUGAGUACAACCAAGGCAUAAACAGGCCUGAAUUUCAGCUCUUUGCUGGAUUGAUUCUUACGCCUGAGCACUUGAUAAAACACUCAGUAGCAAAACCUCUUUGUCCAGCCUGAGGACAGCACUGGUAGACACCCAGCCCUUUCAUGUGGGCAGAAAUGAAAUGCAGCAACAUGUGCGUGUGUGACCAACCUGCAGAAUCACCGAGGUUGGAGCUGUGUUUUUAUGGUUUUCUUUGUCUUUACUAACGAGUCCCAGGGCAUUUUGCAGAAUGCACAUUGUAGCCACGGGCUGAGCCCUGUGCCCAGCUCGGGGCCGGGACGUGUUGGCAUUUCAGCGCCAGCGACACUUCGCUCUGGUUGUUACAAGAGGAAGUGAAGAACAGAAGUUCCCCGUCUGAAACCGUGGGGGGAAGUUUAGUGUGGUAGAAUGUAAUUAUCCAAACUGGAACAUGGCCAGGAUCCUGGAGUUAAUAACACCCUCUGCUCUUGCAAAAAGUGUCAUAGGAUCUUUAAUGACUGUUAGUGGUCAGCGGGCUUCACGUCACAUCUCCAGGACUGAUAUUGAACAGAUCAGGAGUGUGGGUAUUCCUGUCUGUGUGUAACACAAAUAUCUGCAUGGCCUGUGGCUGCAGCCUUCAGGCUGAGGAGAGAAUUGAGCUGAACAGCCAGGGAGGAGACAUUAAUCUUAAUGAAAAUGAUCCCAUUGAAGGCAGAUGACGUGCAGUUGGUGAAGAACAGCUGAGAUGUUCACUGAAGUGCCCAUAAGGUAGUAUUUGGGGUCCACCAAAUCACCAAAUCCUCAGUGACCAUCAACAUUGUGUAGUUCGGAGGAAUGGAACAAAAAAAGGUUUACAGCAUCCUCUGUGUAAUAGGAUCAAUAGGAUGUGGAAAUCUGUAGUAUGAAUUUACCCUGAUUUCUGUAGUACUGGGAACUAUGUGCAAAUGAGUUGGGAAGUGGGUGUAAGUGGUAAGAUUGCGUUGUGCUAAUUAGCCUGGCAUUGAUGAACUGUACAAAGCCUGGGAACUUCCACAGCAGGAAAGAGAGCACAUCACAGAGAAUCCCUUUCGUCACAACUGACUUGUGCCACGGGACUUCAAUUAAAAACCAGACCAGGCCACUUUUAAUCGCUUUAAUGAGAAAUUACUUUUUUAAAAAAGAUAAUCUUUGUUAAACUGUCUGUCUUCUUCUAGCAGUGCAGCCCAUCAUGAUGGGAGAUGAGGUGCUAAUUAUCUGUCUUGGCUGCUUUUUCUGAUCACAAGGUUUGUUAUUCUAUCCUGCACCUGGCACUACAGGCUCUGGUGUUUGGAAUCAGUGGGCAUUACUACAGUGCCAGCUGUAAUAAAGAGUAGAAGGCCAACGAUCCUGUAUGUUGUUAAAAUGAAGAAAGACUUGCACAGUUCUCCCCCUUUGUACAUCCCAGUACAUUGGUACUUACACCAUAACAGUAUUAUCUCAGGGAAUAUAAGUCUGCUACAGGAUAUUGCCACUUUAACCACCUGAACUGCCUUUUAGUUCCAGUUUCAACUCAGUGUCAAAAAUAUUACCCUGUUUAAGAUUAAUUUGUGACAAAAUGUCAUAUUAAUACAGCUAUAUUUCCCAGGGGAUAAAUAUGGCCUUUUGAAGAGCAGCCAUGGCUGAGUGCUAUAUAGGACUAUAGAGAAUUAUCAACAGGCUUUUGCCUUAGCAAAUGUCAUGCUACCAGAAGAAUGGAGCAGUUUGCAGUGGCAUCCAGCCAGUACCCUCUCAUGAGGAAGAAUCAAUUUGCAAGGUAUUGAGUAAGUCCUUGGGCUAUGCUGUGGAGAGGUGACCACCCAUGAAAGCCACUGACAUGAAAAAAAUGCAAGAAUCAUAUAGACCAGCAUGAAUUGGGACUUGGACAACAAGAGCCUUGGACCACAAGGACUUCAGAUACCCACAGAAACAAGGACUCAGAUACCUGGAGAGAGCUGGGGAGG